AAGUUCUUCUCUCUCAUCCUAAAAUUUAUAUUGCUAUACGACGUCGUUGUGGUGUUUUGUGUGACCUACGCCGCCACGUCGGCGCCACCUGAGUAAAUCACAUACAAAAUUAAGGGAGCAGUCCGUCGCCGCCGCUCACGUUCAAUUCACCCUGAUACUCCGCCGGCGAACCACGUGUUGCUACUCGGAACAUUUGAAUCAGUGAUAUGGUUACUAAUGGGGGCAAAUCUGGAGUCUCGUUAGCUGCGCCGCACGAGCUUAACGUGUGGAGAUUUGUAGAGUCUAGAGCAUCUGAGCUCGAGAGCCUUCACUCUGUCGUUUCCGAUCGUUUGGAUAACAAUUUUCGGUCCCAAAGGAACAAGAGAAGGAGAACAACUGGACAUGACAAUCGAGUUGCGAAAAAGAAGUUUAAAAGGAGGAGAAUUGAAGUGGGGAAAAUUGAUAGCACUGAUGACUCUGUGUCGAAAGGCGAGAAGAAAAUAUCUCGUCGUGUUCGAAGGAAUAUUGAACUUAAGAAGAACCUGCCGAAUGGAUUUAGUACUUCGGGGGAUGGGACCAAGAGACUGAGAACACAUGUAUGGCAUGCCAAGCGGUUCACAAUGAAAAAGAUAUGGGGUUUCUACGUUCCUCUAGGUCUUCAUGGCAGAGGAAGAGGUUCAAGGGCUCUCUUGAAAAAAUUAAAGCAGGGAGUACUUGUGCACGACGCAAGCUACUAUGGCUUGGUGCAGUUGGAGGGUCCAGAGGACACCUUAAUGUCGGUUCUAAGUUCUGUCUUGGUGCCGUCUCCAUCGGCAAGCCGUGAAGAAACCUCGCGUGAUAUUCUUGCUGGAGUCAUCUUUGGAACAGCCAUGCUUCAUCGUUCUGGAAAACCGUCUCUCCCACCUAUUGCUCCGGUGACCUACUUGUGGCAACGAGCCCCUACUAAUGUGGAAGGGCACAGCAAAGACGUUUGCGAUGGAGAAAAGAACAACGAUGGUGGUCCAAUCACGCGCCAGCUGUGGGUGUGGAUACAUGCUGCUGCUUUUCAAGAAGCAUACGAUGCUUUAGAUUCUGCAUGUCAAGGACAGACAGGCACGGGUUCUUUGGCUCGUUGUGUUUCUCGUGAGGGCCAGCUAGCAAAAUUGGAAUUGAUGGGCUCAAAAGUGUUUCAGUUGCUGCAGAAGACACUGAUACCUGCCAGCAGUAAUUCUGCAAACUCUCUGCUUCUGAAGAAAUGUUCGGGCGAUGAGAAUGCUAAUCUUAGCGAAUCAGUGAAGUUGUCGAUUUUCGAGAACGGAAAUCAGAUUUCAUCUUCUGCCGUUGUUUCUCUGGUAGUAAAAGACCCUCGUGCAUUAAGUAAUGAAGAAGGUCAAAUCAAAGAGGAAACUGCUUCAUUGCCUAACCAUGAAGCUGACUGUGUAUUUGAGUUCGGUGAAUUAUGGGAUGCCAGCAAAUCGGUGAAACCUCCUAUGGAAGAAAGUGUUCUCUGUAUGGAAAAGCAUAAUCGGCAUAAUGAAUUUAUUCGGCUUGGUCGUAAAAUUUCCGGGCCUCAAAAUGCUUCUAUUGAUAGAGAAUACUCUAGAAUUUGUCCUGUUUUACUGUUAAAACACGAGGACGGUGAAGAAUCAGUUACUAGGUGUUCCGUCAUCCUCCCUCUAAGUUGGGUUAAAGCAUUUUGGAUUACUUUUAUGUCAAACGGUGCUCAUGCUAUCGGUUUACGAGAGAAGCAAUGGGUUGCUAGCGAGAUGGGAUUACCCUACUUCCCCUCGGACUUUCCCGAUUGCAACGCAUACUCGAAUUUUAUGGCAAUGGAGUCCGAUGAAACAAACCACAAAGCAAACCUUCUUCCUCCUUCUAAAAGGCCACCACAAGUCCCGAUUCCUCCUCCAUGGAGUUGUGUGCACCUUACUUUAGAACAAAGAUCAAGUAAAACGGGAAAAUCUUAUAGCCACACAGACAAUGAAAAAAUUGAUAUUGAGAAACAACGAAUUUUCGAGGGUGCUAUAGCGAGGACAUCUUGCAUGCUGAGUGAGUUCCUGCGAAAUAUCAGUGGCGAAAAUUUGCUUUUAUUCCCGAAAAUAACCGGUCAGAAGAAUUGCUUGUAUAAAUUCAUGAGGGACAAAGAAUUUCUCGAACCAGACAACAGUGUUAUGUCAGAAGUGAAGUGCGCAGAAACAUUGUGCUAUGUCAGAGUACUUCUUCGUGCUUGUAAAGAAGGUGCUUUCGAACAAGGAGCAGUUGUCUGUGCACCCCAUGCUGCUGACGUAAUGCCGUUGACAGCCAGCAGCUCAGAAAGUGACGACCAACGACUUCAAAUACCUCAAGCUUCACAGAAAUCGUACUUUAAGCAGUUACCUUCUGGUAAAUGGGAACUCGAAUUACCCAAGGAUGAAGAAGCUACUGAUAAAUCCUACAGGUGGCCCAUUGGCUUUAUUACAACUGGUUUUGUACGAGGAAGCAAAAAGGCAACGUCGGUGGCGUUUUGCGAGGCGAGUUUACUAUCGAGUCUUCGAAGAGAGCAAUGGAAGGCGUUGCCGUUAAAGCGGAGGAAGAAGGAGAUAUACGUUCUCGUUAGAAACAUGAGAUCAACUGCCUAUAGACUUGCUCUUGCCACCAUUGUUCUAGAACAACACGAAGAAGAUGCCGCGUUCAUCUGACCUGUUUUCAAACCGGGCCCACGCCCACAUUUCUACAUUAACAACGAGCCUCGUUCGAGCCUUGUCCGUUACCUAAGGAAGCAUCAUAUUCAUGUUUACAAUGGUCUCCCCACCCAGUUUUUGCCUCUGUUGCUUCAUUGUGCGUCUAGAGACGAUGAUUUCGGAACUCACCAACUUUCUUCGGGCCAGAAUUUCAGUUGGAAUUUUAAAUCCAAUGCUUUUGAGACGACUCUCUAUUUUUGUCGGUUCUCGUGCGGGCCGAAAACUGCUUCCUUCGUUGUCUUUAAUGCUGGGUGGGCGGACACAUACAAGACGUACAAUUACGUCGCUAGGGACGACGGGUUUUACGUUAACUAUGGUUUGGACAACAGUUACCACAAGCUAGAUUACUCAUGGCAAUGAUGGUUGUUGUCGAUUUUAUUAUUAAAUUGUAAUAUUUUUUUUCUUCUUCUUCUUAUAUUUGGUCGUGACAUGAAAUAAAAUUGUGUU